rnacentral:ncRNA from 1 species
CUCUGAAAAACGCAAACCCGGAGCAAUCCGGCGACGCAAAGCCUUCGGGUCCCUCAUGGGGAUGGCCGGGCCACCGAA